GAUGAAGAACGUAGCGAAAUGCGAUAAGUAAUGUGAAUUGCAGAAUUCAGUGAAUCAUCGAAUCUUUGAACGCACAUUGCGCCCGCCAGUAUUCUGGCGGGCAUGCCUGUUCGAGCGUCAUUUCAACCCUCAAGCCCCCGGGCUUGGUGUUGGGGAUCGGCGUGUCCUCGCGGCGCGCCGUCCCCUAAAUCUAGUGGCGGUCUCGCUGUAGCUUCCUCUGCGUAGUAGCAACACUCGCACUGGAUCGCAGCGCGGCCACGCCGUUAAACCCCCCACUUCUGAAAGUUUGACCUCGGAUCAGGUAGGAAUACCCGCUGAACUUAAGCAUAUCAAUAAGCGGAGGA
rnacentral:misc_RNA from 1 species